GUGGCAGGAGGGAAAUGGGUGGGAGUGGGCUUCUAGGUUCUUGCAAAGAUUAAAACUGAACCCUCCAUUGAAAGCCUUUCAAGAUUCCCCCAGACCUGGAAACAGUGCUGGACUUGGCUGGAAAAAGGGGAGGCUGUCAGGAGGUAAAGCUGGAGAAUGCUGGAACCUCAGACCCCGAAAAGCUAAUAGACACGGCUCAUCCCUAUCGAAAACCAAGUGAGAAAUUCGUGCUUAGUCUCAUAUUUGACAAUCUGGAAUUGCUCAUUUUCAUACUCACUUUCAAUAAGAGAGAGCCCUUGAGCAAGGUUGUGAAAUAAAAUAAUUAUAGUCCUUUCAUUCAUACUGCAUUGUAUAAUUUACAUAAAGUUUUGUUAUUCAUUUUUUUAUCCGAGUCUCACAACAACCGUGUGAGGCAGGUGGAACAGGGAUUGCCAUUCCCUUCUGGCAAAAGACGAAACCGAGGCCCAGAACAGUUAAGUUACCAGAAUUCAUAGAGCCCAUUAUGUGGAACAGCCAGGCUAGAAUUCAGGCCCUUUGAGACCUUCCACGUUCCUUCCACUCUACCACGGAGAAAGGCUUGCCUUUGACAACUUGCCUGCCAGCUCCCUUGCCCACACUUGCUACUUUGAGAAACCACGCUGCUUAUAUCCACCCCUGGGAAACUUCUCAUUUGUCUCCCCCUUCCACAGCGACCUUUUCUAGGCUACACCCCCUCGUCCACACGCAGCUUUUCUCUGAUCUCAAUAACGUGUCCAUGCAGAGGAACUCUUUUUAAGGUUCUGUUUCAUGAGAGGGGCCGGGAGAACCUACCCACUGACCUAAUUUACUAAUUCUUGCUGAGAAGUUUGGGGAGUGAUUGUUACUCCUCCGAGAUAACAGCGCACUUUAAGAGAAGUUCUCAAUGCCUUACUCCAAAGCGUAGAUUCCAACUGUGAGAGUUUUAGCAUUUUGGCUUAUUUUGAAGCGCCUGCAGAUCCUAUGAUGUAAGUGCCCCUUCCCCCCAACACACAACUGGGACUAGCCCCACCUGAGUGAGCUAACAAGCUACUCGUCUAGUCCUUUGUGCAUAGGUGCCUUCUUCCUCUGAGCCCAGGGAACACAUCUUGACUCGCAGCUGAAGACUGGCUCCGUGGCCAGCUGGCACCCAGAGCUCUCCCAGGGAGAGUCAGCUUUUGGGGAGCUAACGGCACACUCCUGCCUGGUCUGGAGCGCCUGCCAUAGGUCUCCCCUUCCCGUCCCUCCAGGGAGCUGGAGCUUCUCUUUCUUCCUGAGAUGCUCAGGGAUUCUUGUCAGGUCAGGAGUAAUGGGGAAUCACACUUUGAGAACCAAUGCUUCAGGGGCUGUGCUGAGUAGGCUUGAUUGUCAGGAGUCUCUGGUCCUGGGAGGACCUGCCCAGAGGCACGGACAGCACCAUGUGACCUGGAGGAGGGUCUAGCUCAGUGAGGCUAGGCCUUGGGCAGGGCUCAGCAACCCGCUCCUGGGGCUCCUACAGUUGCCUAGGAGCACAGGUUAUACCCGGCACCUCCCGUCAAAGGCCCGGUCUCUCCUGGAGUCAUCUAACUCCUGCUGUCAUGCCUCCCUCUUCCUGGGUGCUGGAGGAACUGAAGCACCGAUACACCCCGGAGCCAGCGGCCCAAGAUGAGCCCCGUGCUGCAGAGCACUGGUGGUUCUCAAACUGAGCAUGCGUCCGAGUCCCCUGGGACAGGAGGGCUUGGUAAAACACAGAUUGCCAGUCCCUCCCCGAGAGUUUGUGGUCAGUAGGUCUGGAGUGGUGGUGGCUGAGAAGGUGCGUUUCCAACACGUUCCCAGCUGAUGCUGACCGAUGCCUCUCAGCCAAGGGAAUAAAGAGGCUCCUGUUUUCUUUUGUUCUUAUGACUGAGGCAGAGGCCUGGCCACUGAAGAUGCAGACCAGGGAGCAGCCUGGACAGACACUGGGAAUUUAUUUGGCACCAGACUAAAAAUUCUGAGCGACUAGAUUUUUGUUAAGGAUCAGUGAUAAAAGCAUCAAAUUAUAUACAGCAUUUCCUCAUUCUAAGUAUAUUUCAUUGGAUGAUGAUGUUUAGAUUCAGCUAUUUCAACAAAGGGAUGGGAGAAGAGAACCAACAUUUACUGAGCUCUGUUGAGCUUUGCACUAGGCCCUUUACAUAUGUUACCUCAUUUGCUUCUUGCAACAACCAUACGAAAAAGACAUCAAUUAAAAAAAUAACAUCCCCUAGGGGCUGACCCCGUGGCCAAGUGGUUAAGUUCGCGCAUUCGCGCUCCGCUGCAGGCAGCCCAGUGUUUCGUUGGUUUGAAUCCUGGGCACGGACAUGGCACUGCUCAUCAAAACACGCUGAGGCAGUGUCCCACAUGCCACAACUAGA
ensembl:lncRNA